rnacentral:lncRNA from 1 species
UGGACCUGCUGUCAUUAUGAUAUGCUAGUAGAGUAUUAGGUAUGUCUGGACCUGCUGUCAUUAUGAUACGCUAGUAGAGUAUUAGGUAUGUCUGGACCUGCUGUCAUUAUGAUACGCUAGUAGAGUAUUAGGUAUGUCUGGACCUGCUGUCAUUGUGAUCUGCUUGCAUGCAGGAGACAGAGCUGACCUCUACCUCAUAGAUACCAGAGAUCCAAAAGUGUUCUUCUACUAUCCCAUUAGGAAAAUCCUUUUUUGUUCCAGGGAGAACCAUUUUGGGUUCCACGUCAGAACCCUCUGUGGAAUGGGUUCUACACGGAACCCCAAAACAAUUCUACCUGGAACCAACAAGGGUUCUUGAAAGAGUUCUCUCCUUUGGGGACAGAUGAAUAACCCUUUUAUGUUCUAGAUGGCAUCUUUUGUUCUAAGAGUGUAGGGAAUCGGGUGCAAUUUGAAGAGCAUCAUAAACCCCAGAGGCUUUAUAAGAGGCUUAAUGACAAGUGGUUGUUUUCUCUGGAGACUAACCGCAGCUGGGUGCAGUGGGCAGGUGCUGUCCUAGCAGGGCAUAGGAGGUACGGUCUAUAAUACACUACAGUACAGCUCUCAGCUCAGAUAAUGGAAGCUGCCUGGUCCCGCUACUCUACAGGGAUUACAGCGGAUUAUGUUCCUGCUGUGUUUGCCUGUCAGACAUGUCCUUUUUUACUGCCCAUUUGAUUGUGCUGUAAAGUAGGACUUUAUUUUCUCCCGUCGUGUGUUGAAGAGACUGGACGUGACAAGGCUCCGAGAUUGUCCCAGGGAAAGCUGUUGUUCCAAGGCAUCUAAGUUCAAACACACAAAGAUUUCCUGUCACAGAAGUAUUGUGAUGCUAAUCUAGAUGUUAUGAAACAGUCCCUCUAUUCUAGAAGGAAGCCUCGAUGGUUUCUGCUUUUUGGGCUAUCUGUACUUUACUAUUCAUAUUUUUGUCAACUUUUACUUUUAUUUCACUGCAUUCCUAAAUAAAUAAUGUACUUUUUUUUUACUCCAUACAUUUUUCCCUGACACCCAAAAGUACUCGUUACAUUUUUGACAGGAAAAUGGUCCAAUUCACACACUUAUCAAGAGAACAUUCCCGGUCAUCCUUUCUGCCUCUGAUCUGGAGGACUCACUAAAUACAAAUGCUUUGUUUGUAAAUUAUGUCUGAGUGUUGGAGUGCGUCCCUGCUGUCCGUCAAAAAAAAGACGAGAACAUUUCGGGGCGGCAGGUAGACUAGUGGUUAGAGUGGAGGGGAGGCAGGUAGACUAGUGGUUAGAGUGGAGGGGCGGCAGGUAGUCUAGUGGUUAGAGUGGAGGGGCGGCAGGUAGUCUAGUGGUUAGAGUGGAGGGGCGGCAGGUAGCCUAGUGGUUAGAGUGGAGGGGAGGCAUGUAGCCUAGUGGUUAGAGUGGAGGGGCGGCAGGUAGCCUAGUGGUUAGAGUGGAGGGGCGGCAGGUAGCCUAGUGGUUAGAGUGGAGGGGUGGCAGGUAGCCUAGUGGUUAGAGUGGAGGGGAGGCAGGUAGCCUAGUGGUUAGAGCGGAGGGGCGGCAGGUAGACUAGUGGUUAGAGCGGAGGGGCGGCAGGUAGUCUAGUGGUUAGAGUGGAGGGGCGGCAGGUAGCCUAGUGGUUAGAGUGGAGGGGAGGCAUGUAGCCUAGUGGUUAGAGUGGAGGGGCGGCAGGUAGCCUAGUGGUUAGAGUGGAGGGGCGGCAGGUAGCCUAGUGGUUAGAGUGGAGGGGCGGCAGGUUAGAGUGGAGGGGCGGCAGGUAACCUAGUGGUUAGAGUGGAGGGGCGGCAGGUAGCCUAGUGGUUAGAGUGGAGGGGCGGCAGGUAGCCUAGUGGUUAGAGUGGAGGGGUGGCAGGUAGCCUAGUGGUUAGAGUGGAGGGGAGGCAGGUAGCCUAGUGGUUAGAGCGGAGGGGCGGCAGGUAGACUAGUGGUUAGAGCGGAGGGGCCGCAGGUAGCCUAGUGGUUAGAGCGGAGGGGCGGCAGGUAGCCUAGUGGUUAGAGUGGAGGGGCGGCAGGUAGCCUAGUGGUUAGAGUGGAGGGGCGGCAGGUAGCCUAGUGGUUAGAGUGGAGGGGGGCAGGUAGCCUAGUGGUUAGAGUGGAGGGGGGGCAGGUAGCCUAGUGGUUAGAGUGGAGGAGCGGCAGGUAGCCUAGUGGUUAGAGUGGAGGGGAGGCAGGUAGCCUAGUGGUUAGAGUGGAGGGGAGGCAGGUAGCCUAGUGGUUAGAGUGGAGGGGCGGCAGGUAGCCUAGUGGUUAGAGUGGGGGGGCGGCAGGUAGCCUAGUGGUUAGAGUGGAGGGGCGGCAGGUAGCCUAGUGGUUAGAGUGGAGGGGAGGCAGGUAACCUAGUGGUUAGAGUGGAGGGGCGGCAGGUAGCCUAGUGGUUAGAGUGGAGGGGCGGCAGGUAGCCUAGUGGUUAGAGCGGAGGGCCAGUAACCAAAAGGUUGCAAGAUCGAAUCCCCGAGCUGACAAGGUAAAAAUCUGUCAUCCUGAACAAGGCAGUUAACCCGAAAAUAAGAAUUUGUUCUUAACUGACUUGCCAAGUUAAAUAAAGGUGAAAUACAUUAUUUUUUUUUAUGAUACUGAAGUACAUUUUAGCAAUUCCAUUUACUUUUGAUACUUCAGUAUAUAUAAAACCAAAUACUUUUAGACUUUUACUCAAGUAGUAUUUUACUGGGUGACUUUCACUUUUACUUGAGUAAUUUUCUAUGAAGGUAUCUUUACAAUUGAGGUACUUUUUCCACCACUGGAUGAAAUUGUCCUGUUUGGCUUUACAGUGGAGUUGUUAAUACCAGACACAGACUUGGGACCAGGCUAGCCAAAGGAGCAACACUUCACGUUAAGUUGCCCUUCUGUCAAACUACAACUCUCGCUGAUAAACAAAUAGUAUUCAGCUGGACGGAUAAGGUUCAUGAAACAAUGGUUCCAUUUUAAAGGGAAUGCGCCAAGUUCUAGACAUUUCUAUAUUGACACAUGGCAAAUAUUUUAAGAAGCUUCUGGGCCGUGACAGAGGUAGCAUGAAUGUUGAGAUGACACACACAUAAAAGAGAUCUAUCAGAAUGUGACACUAACCAACAGCAGUAUUAAUGUUCCGGGCCGCUGUAUAAUUCAUUGUGUUUUCACCGUGUUUUGGAAUAUUGGUGAAAUGGAACAAAGACUCUUUAUUCCAGGCUAGGCCCAAAUGACACUCUAUUCACCUAUGUAGUGCACUAUACAGAGAAUAGGGUUCCAUUUGGGACGCGUUCUAGGUUGUUCCACUGUCCACAAGGACACGGCAGAUUACUCGGGGCCGGGGCCGGGGCCCAGCCAUGUAAACACAGGUGUGUCACUUCAGUUCAGCCAGUUGUUAUCGUUAAACUUGAUCUAGAUUCUAAUGUUGUUGGACUCAAUACUUGGGACUGGAUUGUGUAUUUAUAUGUAUUUAAGCAUUUCAAAUAUGAUGAAUCUCAUUAUUACCAGGUAAAUGUGUUAACAGUAUAUUGUUUCUAUGGUGGAAGCUCUAGUCUCGAUCUCAGUGUUUUCUGAUCGGAUGAAUUGAGUUGUUUUUAUAUAUUUCAAAAAGAGAUAAAACAGAAGAUUUUCUGCUGAUUUUUAAAAACAGUCCUAUGCUGUUUCUCUGGUGCGUAGGAGCUCUACUCUUCGUGGCAGGAUCGAGCUCUGCUCUAGUCUCUCUGGUGUUGAUGGCAUCGUGUCAGUGCACGUCAACAUUCACCAUCUCCUCUGGGAUCGCUGCCAAUCACAUAAAUCCUCCUCACUUUAAUUCUCAGUACAUUUCCACAUGAAUGUCGCUGCUGACUGCUUGACUAAUAGGCCUUAGGCUAUUCAUAACAGAUUUAUUAACACAUUCGUAUCACGUUUAUUAACACAUUCGUAUCACGUUUAUUAACACAUUCAUAACACAUUAACACAUUCAUAACACAUUAACACAUUCAUAACACAUUAACACAUUCAUAACACAUUAACACAUUCAUAACACAUUAACACAUUCAUAACACAUUAACGCAUUCAUAACACAUUAACGCAUUUAUUAACACAUUUAUUAACACAUUAACACAUUCAUAACACAUUAACACAUUCAUAACACAUUAACACAUUCAUAACACAUUUAUUAACACAUUCAUAACACAUUAACACAUUCAUAACACAUUCAUAACACAUUAACACAUUCAUAACACAUUAACACAUUUAUUAACACUAACACAUUCAUAACACAUUAACACAUGCAUAACACAUUAACACAUUCAUAACACAUUAACACUAACACAUUCAUAACACAUUAACACAUUUAUUAACACAUUAACACAUUCAUAACACAUUAACACAUUUAUUAACACAUUAACACAUUCAUAACACAUUAACACAUUUAUUAACACAUUCUCUUUAUGAACUAUGAGUUUGACCCCAAAAGAAUUGAGAUGUUUUGAUGUCAGUCUUUAAAAUUAAGGAGAAUGUAUACACUGAGUUUACAAAACAUUAGGAACACCUCUUUCCAUGACACAGAACACGUGUCAAAACAUUAGGAACACCUCUUUCCAUGACACAAAACACGUGUAAAACUCGUUCCAUGGAGGGCGGAGUGUUUGCGGGUUUUCACUCCAUCCUUGUACUUAAUUGAUGAAUUCAGGUCACUAAUUAGUAAGGAACUCCCCUCACCUGGUUGGCUAGGUCUCCCCUCACCUGGUUGUCUAGGUCUCAGUAAGGAACUCUCCUCACCUGGUUGUCUAGGUCUCCCCUCACCUGGUUGUCUAGGUCUCAGUAAGGAACUCUCCUCACCUGGUUGUCUAGGUCUCUCCUCACCUGGUUGUCUAGGUCUCAGUAAGGAACUCCCCUCACCUGGUUGUCUAGGUCUCAGUAAGGAACUCUCCUCACCUGGUUGUCUAGGUCUCAGUAAGGAACUCCCCUCACCUGGUUGUCUAGGUCUCAGUAAGGAUCUCCCCUCACCUGGUUGUCCAGGUCUCAGUAAGGAACGCCCCUCACCUGGUUGUCUAGGUCUCAGUGAGGAACUCUCCUCACCUGGUUGGCUAGGUCUCAGUAAGGAACUCCCCUCACCUGGUUGUCUAGGUCUCAGUAAGGAACUCUCCUCACCUGGUUGUCUAGGUCUCAGUAAGGAACUCCCCUCACCUGGUUGUCUAGGUCUCAGUAAGGAACUCUCCUCACCUGGUUGUCUAGGUCUCAGUAAGGAACUCCCCUCACCUGGUUGUCUAGGUCUCAGUGAGGAACUCUCCUCACCUGGUUGUCUAGGUCUCAGUAAGGAACUCCCCUCACCUGGUUGUCUAGGUCUCAGUAAGGAACUCUCCUCACCUGGUUGUCUAGGUCUCAGUAAGGAACUCCCCUCACCUGGUUGUCUAGGUCUCAGUAAGGAACUCCCCUCACCUGGUUGGCUAGUUCUUAUUUGAAAGGAAAAACCAAAAACCCGCAGACCCUCGAUCCUCCGUGGAAUGAGUUUGACACCGCUUGAUGUAGCUUGGUCUAUAUCUGUACUUCAUUAAACCAGUUGUAGCUUGGUCUAUAUCUGUACUUCAUUAAACCAGUUGUAGCUUGGUCUAUAUCUAUACUUCAUUAAACCAGUUGUAGCUUGGUCUAUAUCUGUACUUCAUUAAUCCAGUUGUAGCUUGGUCUAUAUCUGUACUUCAUUAAACCAGUUGUAGCUUGGUCUAUAUCUGUACUU